GACAGGGCGUAGCGCAGAGACUGCAGAUCCGGACUCUUUUCCAGAAACGUUUUCUUCAGGCCCACACCGCCGGCGUGGAAGUAUUGCUGUGUAACAGAUGUGACAUGACACGCUUAUUGAGGAUAACCGAAUGGCAGAUAGACGGCAGACACAGCGAGCUCUAAGCGGAGCGUGUAAUGUGAGCGAGUGCGACUAAACUGCCUUGUAGCAUGCAUCAGGGCUUUCAGUCUGCGAGCAAUGAAGAAGUAAUUUAAAGAUCUCUAAAUGUGCGUCAAACCUGGCGGAUGAUGAUUAAGAGUCACAUUUAAGCAUUGAAGAUCAUCUGAGUUCCCUGUCGAGGAGAGACACAAAGACCAGGUGGCGCAGAGUGAGCGGAUAAAAGAAACAAAUGGAGUUUUCUGAGAUGUGCCAGUGAGGAAGAUUUGCAAGGUGACAGGUAAGGUCAAGAAAUCUCAACAUUUGAUGCCAACCCUUGAGACAAAUUUAAGUUGUUUUUUUAAACUUUAUUGAUGGUCCAUGGAGAGACACUUACUUGCUGUCCAGGAA